rnacentral:hammerhead_ribozyme from 1 species
AUCAAGCUGACGAGUCCCAAAUAGGACGAAGCGCGCAUCCUGGAU